rnacentral:rRNA from 1 species
GACGAACGCUGGCGGCGUGCUUAACACAUGCAAGUCGAACGGUAAGGCCCUUUUGGGGGGGUACGCGUGGGGCGCAGGUGUGUAUAACAUGAGUGAACCGCCCCCUCUACUUUGGUAUAGCUUCGAAACUGGUGGGCUUAUAGCUUAUAUGAUCUUGCUCCGUGGUGGGGGUUGGGAAGAUCCGGGGGUUGUGGAUGGACUCGCGGCCUAUCAGCUUGUUGGUGGGGUAGUGGGCUACCAAGGCGGCGACGGGUAGCCGGCCUGAGAGGGUGAGCGGCCACAUUGGGACUGAGAUACGGCCCAGACUCCUACGGGAGGCAGCAGUGGGGAAUAUUGCACAAUGGGCGCAAGCCUGAUGCAGCAACGCCGCGUGCGGGAUGACGGCCUUCGGGUUGUAAACCGCUUUCAGCAGUGACGAAGCUUUGUGUGACGGUACUUGCAAAAGAAGCACCGGCUAACUACGUG